CCCCCCCCCCCCCCCCCCCCCCCCCCCCCCCCCCCCCCCCCCCCCCCCCCCCCCCCCCCCCCCCCCCCCCCCCCCCCCCCCCGAAGAGUUGCUCCUCUUAAUUGGAAAGGUCAUCUGUGACAGAUCGUGCGGCUCGGAAUUGCAGGAAUGUGGAUCCUUUUUUGGUGCUCCGGCGACCCAGGUUCCUUCUGGUCUUGCUUGUCCUGUUGUGGGUGCACCUCGGGUGCACGACCGAAAUCUCCGAGGAGCCGGACUGCUGACAUUUCUUCCUCCAAGCAACCGGGUCGUGUGGUCCAGUGCCCCCCACAGUUGAUGGGCCCCCUACGUGGUCAUCUCCAAGACGUCAUCUGGAAUCCCCCAAACAUCAUCCCUUCAUCAGGAAACAUUUUUCAACGAUUUGUUCCUCGUGGGCAGAGGAGUCAGGUGGGUGAGCAAAGGAAUCGUUCUCAAUCAGGAGUGGAAGAUCCAUCUGGAAGCCGUGGGCCACAACAAUGGGCUCUCCGAAACUCCCCACACUCAUCAAUGAACAUCAGUGGUGGUUUCACGAGUUGCACUUUACAACCCAAACCUGCUCCAAACCUGGGGGGGGGGGGGGGGGGGGGGGGGGGGGGGGGGGGGGGGGGGGGGGGGGGGGGGGGGGGGGGGGGGGGGGGGGGGGGGGGGGGGGGGGGGGGGGGGGGGGGGGGGGGGGGGGGGGGGGGGGGGGGGGGGGGGGGACCACGGACGACCCUCGCUGUCGGAGUUUGGGAACCACACCAGCAUUACCACGUUGGAGAGAGGAUGACAUCUCACGAUCUUUGUGUGGACUGCUGCCGCCCUUCCUCAGAAACUACAAAACGGUCUCUUCGUCCACAGUAGACUCCACCGGCUCGAGAUUAGAGUUCAUUAUUGGGUUUAUAUAGAAUUGAUCUCGCAAUUAUUUCAGUUUGUCUUUGUUAUCAUUUCGCUGGAUCUUGC
rnacentral:lncRNA from 1 species